rnacentral:lncRNA from 1 species
AUUCAGCAGACAGCCAGUGCAGCGGCAGGAGGAGCAGCCACAGCCUCUAGGACUCUGGCAUUUUUUUCACCCUCUCAAGAGUCCCCAGAAUUCCAAAAGUAAAAUCAUCACGCCCCUAGGAGACAGAGCAUGAGACACAUCAGAGUCAGCUGCUGUGGACAAUCUAAAGCAGCCCCAUGGCCCGCACCUGGGCUUAAAAUGAAACAUAGUCACAUAACACAACUGGUUUUUAGAAGAAGCCAAAAUUCGCACUACACUCAAACAUCCCACCUGCCCUGGGCCUCAGUGUUGGCGUCUGCUCCCCUAUACUUGCCACCCCACCCGCCUUCUCGGGUCUUUUCACAGUGGCCGCAAGUCAGACAAACGAAGGUGAGGAAUAAAAGAAGCCUUUGACCUUGAAACUUCAGCACGCCUGCAACCCUAACGUCUGGUGACCUUCCUAAUCCCAGCCCUUUCCUGGUCCCGUCUUGACUCUUUACCACCCAGUUGAAGUGAUGGGAACCAUGAGACUCUAACAGAUUCUCCGGUGUGCCCAGGGCACAGGAAUUCCAAAGAAUCUAGGAGCCACAGUUCCCCCUACCCCACCCCACCGCACCUUGCCCCACCCCGCCCCACCCCCACCCCGUCUGGGAUCUUGGAGGGGGCUGUUCGGUGAGAGAAUCACAGCUUUUGGGUGCCAGAAGUCUCAGCUGCCUGCUUAUCUGGGCUCUCACCCCCCCCCCCCCAGGUUCCUGCUCCGGAUGUG